GCAACAACAAACAGACUUUGCUGUUUUCAGUCUAUUGAGAUAUUUGUUGGGCAUCACCGAGGAACGCCAGCAAAGGCGUGAAGAAAUACUCGCAAUCAGUGUGACAUGUCGUGUGAGAUGAAGGUGGCAAACCAUCCAAACUUGAAGCCAAGCAUGUGGUGGAUCCGCCAUGGAUGAUGGAUGGACCGAAGGAAGAUUGAACCGCCUUUUGGUUUAGGUAGAAGCACCCAUUGAUGUUUUCCAGUUCUUUGUAUUCAUUCUAUUAUGUGCUAUAAUAGUUAAUUGCAUAUAUAUGUACUAUGUUUGGAUAUUCUCACGCAACAUCUAUGUACAACAGAUGCAGAUUUUCAGAAUAUUUAACCAAAAACCUUUGCCUGCACUGUUCAGAAUA